GACGAACGCUGGCGGCGUGCCUAACACAUGCAAGUCGAGCGAUGUAGCUCCUUCGGGAGUGGAUUAGCGGCGGACGGGUGAGUAACACGUGGGUAACCUGCCUCAUAGAGAGGGAUAGCCUUCCGAAAGGAAGAUUAAUACCUCAUAAGAUUGUAGUUUCGCAUGAAACGGCAAUAAAAGGGGCAAUCCGCUAUGAGAUGGACCCGCGUCGCAUUAGCUAGUUGGUAAGGUAAUGGCUUACCAAGGCGACGAUGCGUAGCCGACCUGAGAGGGUGAUCGGCCACAUUGGGACUGAGACACGGCCCAGACUCCUACGGGAGGCAGCAGUGGGGAAUAUUGCACAAUGGGGGAAACCCUGAUGCAGCAACGCCGCGUGAGUGAUGACGGUCUUCGGAUUGUAAAACUCUGUCUUUGGGGACGAUAAUGACGGUACCCAAGGAGGAAGCGACGGCUAACUACGUGCCAGCCGCCGCGGUAAGAC
rnacentral:rRNA from 1 species